rnacentral:pre_miRNA from 1 species
AUACAAAUCACCUAGGACCUUGUUAAAAAUGCAGAUUCUGAUUCAGUAGGUCUCAUCGGUGCUGAGAUUCUGCAUUUCUAAUAAGAUCCAAAGUUAUGCCACA